rnacentral:lncRNA from 1 species
CCACUUAGCCUAGGCAUAUUUCAACCCAAUCGUUUUCAAAAAAUCUAAGUUAUUGGAAUAUACGUACCAACAUUAUCUAAAAUCCAACUAAACCAAUUGAACAAGAUUGGUUCGAUUCCAUUCUCAGGUUGACUCAAACAUAUGCACCCUAUCUAUGACUGUUGAGAAUACGUAAUACAAAUUCAUUCUCCAUUAGAAUCGAUUGUGAUUCAAUUGCACAAACAACUAAAAU